rnacentral:rRNA from 1 species
AAUAGAUACCCAGGUAGUCCACGCCGUAAACGAUGAGUGCUAAGUGUUAGAGGGUUUCCGCCCUUUAGUGCUGCAGCUAACGCAUUAAGCACUCCGCCUGGGGAGUACGGUCGCAAGACUGAAACUCAAAGGAAUUGACGGGGGCCCGCACAAGCGGUGGAGCAUGUGGUUUAAUUCGAAGCAACGCGAAGAACCUUACCAGGUCUUGACAUCCCACUGACCGGUAUAGAGAUAUACCUUUCCCUUCGGGGACAGUGGUGACAGGUGGUGCAUGGUUGUCGUCAGCUCGUGUCGUGAGAUGUUGGGUUAAGUCCCGCAACGAGCGCAACCCUUGAUCUUAGUUGCCAGCAUUUAGUUGGGCACUCUAAGGUGACUGCCGGUGACAAACCGGAGGAGGGUGGGGAUGACGUCAAAUCAUCAUGCCCCUUAUGACCUGGGCUACACACGUGCUACAAUGGAUGGUACAAAGGGCUGCAAGACUGCGAAGUCAAGCCAAUCCCAUAAAACCAUUCUCAGUUCGGAUUGCAGG